CAUCUUACCGGGCAGCAUUAGAUAUUUUUGAAAUACUUCUAAUACUGUCAGGUAAAGAUGUC
rnacentral:pre_miRNA from 1 species